rnacentral:lncRNA from 1 species
AGACAGGUGCCUACUAAGAGAUGUAUCCUUCCUUCGUGGGCCAACUCUUUAUAAAAGAUGUGUCCUUUCAUUGAAAGAAUCGCCUGGAAGAAUAUUUCAAAAGCUUCACAUUUCUUGGCUUAAUUUAUUCUGUGUUAUUCUCUUCCAUAUUUGGGCUAGUUCAGAUUCAUCUUUAAAUUUUCUCAUGGAAGUGCACCUUAGAAUUUUAUUCCAAAAUGUGCAAAAUA